rnacentral:rRNA from 1 species
AGUUUGAUCCUGGCUCAGAACGAACGCUGGCGGCAUGCCUAACACAUGCAAGUCGAACGAAGUCUUCGGACUUUAGUGGCGCACGGGGUGCGUAACGCGUGGGAAUCUGCCCUUGGGUGCGGAAUAACUUCUCGAAAGGGAUGCUAAUACCGCAUAAUGUCGUAAGACCAAAGAUUUAUCGCCCAAGGAUGAGCCCGCGUAAGAUUAGCUAGUUGGUGGGGUAAAAGCCUACCAAGGCGACGAUCCUUAGCUGGUCUGAGAGGAUGAUCAGCCACACUGGGACUGAGACACGGCCCAGACUCCUACGGGAGGCAGCAGUGGGAAUAUUGGACAAUGGGCGAAAGCCUGAUCCAGCAAUGCCGCGUGAGUGAUGAAGGCCUUAGGGUUGUAAAGCUCUUUACCCGGGAUGAUAAUGACAGUACCGGGAGAAUAAGCACCGGCUAACUACGUG